UACGUAGGUGGCAAGCGUUGUCCGGAUUUACUGGGUGUAAAGGGCGUGCAGCCGGGCUGACAAGUCAGAUGUGAAAUCCCGCGGCUCAACCGCGGAACUGCAUUUGAAACUGUCAGUCUUGAGUACCGGAGAGGUCAUCGGAAUUCCUUGUGUAGCGGUGAAAUGCGUAGAUAUAAGGAAGAACACCAGUGGCGAAGGCAGAUGACUGGACGGCAACUGACGGUGAGGCGCGAAAGCGUGGGGAGCAAACAGG
rnacentral:rRNA from 1 species